AGAGUUUGAUCCUGGCUCAGAUUGAACGCUGGCGGCAUGCCUUACACAUGCAAGUCGAACGGCAGCAUGAUCUAGCUUGCUAGAUUGAUGGCGAGUGGCGAACGGGUGAGUAAUACAUCGGAACGUGCCCUGUAGUGGGGGAUAACUAGUCGAAAGAUUAGCUAAUACCGCAUACGACCUGAGGGUGAAAGUGGGGGACCGCAAGGCCUCAUGCUAUAGGAGCGGCCGAUGUCUGAUUAGCUAGUUGGUGAGGUAAAGGCUCACCAAGGCGACGAUCAGUAUCUGGUCUGAGAGGACGAUCAGCCACACUGGGACUGAGACACGGCCCAGACUCCUACGGGAGGCAGCAGUGGGGAAUUUUGGACAAUGGGGGCAACCCUGAUCCAGCAAUGCCGCGUGUGUGAAGAAGGCCUUCGGGUUGUAAAGCACUUUUGUCCGGAAAGAAAUCGCACUUACUAAUAUUAGGUGUGGAUGACGGUACCGGAAGAAUAAGGACCGGCUAACUACGUGCCAGCAGCCGCGGUAAUACGUAGGGUCCAAGCGUUAAUCGGAAUUACUGGGCGUAAAGCGUGCGCAGGCGGUUGUGCAAGACCGAUGUGAAAUCCCCGGGCUUAACCUGGGAAUUGCAUUGGUGACUGCACGGCUAGAGUGUGUCAGAGGGGGGUAGAAUUCCACGUGUAGCAGUGAAAUGCGUAGAGAUGUGGAGGAAUACCGAUGGCGAACGCAGCCCCCUGGGAUAACACUGACGCUCAUGCACGAAAGCGUGGGGAGCAAACAGGAUUAGAUACCCUGGUAGUCCACGCCCUAAACGAUGUCAACUAGUUGUUGGGGAUUCAUUUCCUUAGUAACGUAGCUAACGCGUGAAGUUGACCGCCUGGGGAGUACGGUCGCAAGAUUAAACUCAAAGGAAUUGACGG
rnacentral:rRNA from 1 species